rnacentral:piRNA from 1 species
UCUAGUGCUCCUCGUUGAGUUUAGUGUUAC